rnacentral:rRNA from 1 species
AUUGAACGCUGGCGGCAGGCCUAACACAUGCAAGUCGAGCGGAUGAAGGGAGCUUGCUCCUGGAUUCAGCGGCGGACGGGUGAGUAAUGCCUAGGAAUCUGCCUGGUAGUGGGGGAUAACGUCCGGAAACGGGCGCUAAUACCGCAUACGUCCUGAGGGAGAAAGUGGGGGAUCUUCGGACCUCACGCUAUCAGAUGAGCCUAGGUCGGAUUAGCUAGUUGGUGGGGUAAAGGCCUACCAAGGCGACGAUCCGUAACUGGUCUGAGAGGAUGAUCAGUCACACUGGAACUGAGACACGGUCCAGACUCCUACGGGAGGCAGCAGUGGGGAAUAUUGGACGAUGGGCGAAUGCCUGAUCCAGCCAUGCCGCGUGUGUGCAGAAGGUCUUCGGAUUGUAAAGCACUUUAAGUUGGGAGGAAGGGCAGUAAGUUAAUACCUUGCUGUUUUGACGUUACCAACAGAAUAAGCACCGGCUAACUUCGUG